rnacentral:rRNA from 1 species
AUUGAACGCUGGCGGCGGGCCUAACACAUGCAAGUCGAACGAGUGGCGGACGGGUGAGUAAUGUCUUGGAAACUGCCUGAUGGAGGGGGAUAACUACUGGAAACGGUAGCUAAUACCGCAUACCAUCAGAUGUGCCCAGAUGGGAUUAGCUAGGUGGUGGGGUAACGGCUCAACAAGGCGACGAUCCCUAGCUGGUCUGAGAGGGUGACCAGCCACACUGGAACUGAGACAAGGUCCAGACUACGACGUGAGGCAGCAGUGGGGAAUAUUGCACAAUGGGCGCAAGCCUGAUGCAGCCAUGCCGCGUGUAUGAAGAAGGUCUUCGGGUUGUAAAGUACUUUCAGCGGGGAGGCGUUACCUGCAGAAGAAGCACCGGCUAACUCCGUGCCAGCAGCCGCGGUAAUAC